CAGUAGCCACGGGAAUACAGAGGGUGCAAGCGUUAAUCGGAAUUACUGGGCGUAAAGCGCGCGUAGGUGGUUUGUUAAGUUGGAUGUGAAAGCCCCGGGCUCAACCUGGGAACUGCAUCCAAAACUGGCAAGCUAGAGUACGGUAGAGGGUGGUGGAAUUUCCUGUGUAGCGGUGAAAUGCGUAGAUAUAGGAAGGAACACCAGUGGCGAAGGCGACCACCUGGACUGAUACUGACACUGAGGUGCGAAAGCGUGGGGAGCAAACAGGAUUAGAUACCCCAGUAGUCCCUGUCUCUUAUAC
rnacentral:rRNA from 1 species